rnacentral:rRNA from 1 species
UGAGGAAUCUUGCGCAAUGGGGGAAACCCUGACGCAGCAACGCCGCGUGAGUGAGGAAGGCCUUCGGGUCGUAAAGCUCUGUCAGAUGGGAAGAAAUGGGUGGGGGCUAAUAUCGUCCAUCCUUGACGGUACCAUCAGAGGAAGCACCGGCUAACUCCGUGCCAGCAGCCGCGGUAAUACGGGGGGAGUAAGCGUAGUUCGGAAUCAUUAGGCGUAAAGCGCGUGCAGGCGGCGUGGUAAGUCAGAUGUGAAAUCCCUGGGCUUAAAUCAGAAAGUCACUUUAAUACUACCUUGGUGUAGUGCGAGAAGGGAUAGUGGAAUUCCUGAUGUAGAGGUAAAAUUCGUAGAAAUCAGGAGAAACUCCGGUGGCGAAGGCGACUUUCUGGCCAGAUACUAACGCUCAGGCGCGAAAGCGUGGGGAGCAAACAG